rnacentral:rRNA from 1 species
AUUGAAUGCUAGCGGGAUGCUUUACACAUGCAAGUCGAACGAGUGGCGGACAGGUGAGUAAUAUAUCGGACCGUGCCCAGUAGCAGGGAAUAACUAAUCGAAAGAGUGUCUAAUAACGCAUACUAUUGGUGCGGCCGAUAUCGGAUUAGCUAGGUGGGGGGGUAAAGGCUCAACAAGGGAACGAUCCGUAGAUGGUUUGGGAGGACGCCCAGCCAAACUGGGACUGAGACACGUCCCAGACUCCUACGGGGGGCAGCAGGGGGGAAUUUGGGACAAUGGGGGAAACCCUGAUCCAGCCAUCCCGCGUGUAUGAGAAGGCCUUCGGGUUGUAAAGUACUUUUGGCAGAGAAGCGGUAUCUGCAGAAUAAGCACCGGCGAACUACGUGCCAGCAGCCGCGGUAAUA